AAUUAAAAAUCGAUCGGUAGGGUUUACAUAUAAAAACGAAAAUGGAUCAGAGAUUGGACACAAACAAUCUCCUUCCUCCUCCAUCUAUCUAUAUUCUCCUCUGAAAACCCUAAUCUCCUUCUUUCUUCUCUCUGUUGCUUCCAUUAACAUAGAUGAUAAAAGCAACUUCAAAAGCCGCGUGAAUUCAUCUUGUAGUAACGGGGAAAUUAAAGAAGGUUUCAGCUGGUCGGUAGAGAGAUUUGUCUGAAGAAAAAAAAAUGGCGACAAUGAAUCAGCUUGAUUCCGAUUUGCUUCUACCUCCACGGAAGCGAUUACUCGCCGGAUUCAAGAAACAGAACUCCAAUGGAUCUUCCUCCUCUUCUACUUCAUAUUCGAACGGCUCCUCCUCUGCUUCCACCGUUGUGCACACCCAUCUCGACAAUCUGUUGACUUCCCAACUCAACGACGGCCAGAUUCGGUCUCCGGAGGAGUUAAAAGCAACCGCUGCUUUAGCAGUAAAGAUCGCAAAGGCGGCGAGAGCCGCCGCUAAUGAGAAAGCCAUCAUUGCUUCAAAGGCCGUAGCUGCAGCCAAGAGCGCGUUGGAACUGUUCGCUUCUUUUCCGGCUGAGACGGUGAAGGAGAGGAAGAACAAGCAGAAGAAACAUGUCCCCGUUCAUGUUAUGUAUUCGAAAGAUGAGGAUUUAGCGCGUAGGUUGAACCGAGCUAUAAACAACUCCCCUAGAGUAUUGACCGGGCAUAGAAACAAGAAGCUAAAGAGUGUAGCUACGUAUGAGAAUAGCGCAGUGACUAGUAGUAGUACUAUGUACGAUGGGAAUGAUGUUGCUGGUGUUGUGGAUUCAGACACCUCCACGGAUGAUGAAGUAGACAGAACAAGAGUUAAUGGGAAGGAGAAAACAGGGGAGGAGAGUAGAACAUUGGGGAAAAGAAGAGGAAGAGUGAAGCUAAAGAAGUUACCUUUGAGCAUGUGUGCCUCUAAGGAUCAAGAAAACGGAAUCAUCACAAAUUCCCUGGCUCGGACGGGAGGUUCUAAUGGUGGUGUGGGUCAGGUGAGAUCAUAGCAGGACUACAAUGGAAGUGUUACGAUCUAAAAGUCACAGGAAUGUGUGUGAAGCAGAAGACAAAGUUGUGUAGGUUCAUAUCAACUCUUUUACCUAAAAGAGGUAAAAAUAGUGCAGAUUCAGAAACAUUGCUAUUUUCAGUAGAAUCCGAAUGUUGUUUCUUAUUUUCCUUGGUUCUGCUUGAGUAGAUUUUAUAUAGUAUAUGUGGUAGUUGAAUCAUCGUGAGUGUUUGUUGAACCUAUGACUAUUUAUUGGGAUUUGUAGCUGAGAGUCGAAUUUAAUAAAACUGAUGGCUCUCUUUUGUUUUUAAACG